CGGGGAGCCUCGCUAGCUCGGCCCAGCCCGAGGGUCAGCACUUCUCCUGGGGAGCCCAGUGGGCGGGAUGCCCUGAGGAGCCGCUCCGGAGAGUACAGUGCGCAGGCGCAGGUUUCGGGAGCCUGGCUGCCCAGGCCAGUUGGGAAGAGAGGGCGUCCGCAGGAGAAGCGGGUGCUGGCGAUUGAUUUAAGUUAAUUAGCAGCAAAAGUAGGUGAAAUUCCGAGAGAGCCAGCCAGAGUGGCAGGGCAGAAUGCGAAGCCCAGUUCCCUGCAGGAGAGCCCGGCCUUGCUUCCUGGGCUGCAGGAAGCUCAGGGGAGGGAGGGGAAGGGUCUGCUCCUCGGCGCGGCCUCACCUCUGAGAAACCGUCCAGAGGAAAUGGUCUGAAGCUCGGAGGAGGCGGGGCUCAGAGGAGGAGUAAGCAGGUGUCACAGAGCUGUCUCGGGAACAAACCGGGGAGGAAGAGGACGGCCCCUGCCUCCAGGGCUUGCAGCGCCGUCCAGGCCCGAGAGGAGGACUGGGAAGUGCCACGACGCCGGGAUUAGGGCAGGCCCGUGGACUGGGACCCCGGACUUCCUCACCUCCUUUCUGGGCCUUGAUUUCAGCUGAUUACAGGGAGGAGAGAAUUCAAGCUGCCCCAGAAGCUGGAAACGGUCGGAUCCUGCCACCUGCUGGCAGCUUCCGGCUCUGCCUGGGCUCCGUCUGAGCGAGGUAGUAUUCCGUCUCAGAGGGUCCUCUGAGCGCCCUAUGUCUGGCACCCCCAAAAUACUCUUCCAGUACAACCCGGGAGACGCUUUUCUCCGCAGCAGCGCCCCUUACAGCUUCUCUCAGUGCCUGGCUUCUUCCAUAAGAGUUACGGCUUGCUUGUCUUUCCUGGAGAGAAAAUAAGGAGUAGAAACCCACCUGGCAUAAAAUAGAUUAUUAUUUCUGCUAUGGCAUCUCAGCAACAUGAGGACACUUGUGUUGCUAAAAUGUUCACUUUACGGGAUGGAGACUUUGACAAGCAGUAAGCACACCCAAAAGAAGCUUAAAACCAGCCAGGGCUGGGGUGUGGGUCAGUAGCAGAGUGUUACCAUGCACGAAGCCCUGGAUUUGUUUCCCAGUACAUGCACACACUCCAAAAUCACAGAUUACUUUUCUCACAAUUUUUGUUUUUCUUAUUGUAAAAAAAAGUGUUCAUUGUGGAUAAUCAAAAAAUGAAAAAGGCUAUUUACUAAGACUGGAAUAACUUUGAGGACGUUUUUGCAUGGAUAAUAAAAGAUUCCAAGUAGAUAGCUAUUAGACACCCAAGUGGAGAAGGAAUAUCAGUUGAGACUUUGUCAUUACUUUGAUAACUUUUAAAUUUAAUUUCUGCUUGUAUAUGAAUGCAUAUAUGUACAAUAUAUAAAUACAAAAAUGUGAGUUUCUUUACAAAAACAAAAAAAUGAAAAAGCCAUACUCCUGCUAUGGUGGUUGAGUUUUAUGUGGUCAACUUACUUAGCUUGGGAGCUGCACACUUCUAGGG
rnacentral:lncRNA from 1 species